UACGAAGGGGGCUAGCGUUGCUCGGAAUCACUGGGCGUAAAGGGUGCGUAGGCGGGUCUUUAAGUCAGGGGUGAAAUCCUGGAGCCCAACUCCAGAAUUGCCAUUGAUACUGAAGAUCUUGAGUCCGGGAGAGGUGAGUGGAACUGCGAGUGUAGAGGUGAAAUUCGUAGAUAUUCGCAAGAACACCAGUGGCGAAGGCGGCUCACUGGCCCGGUACUGACGCUGAGGCACGAAAGCGUGGGGAGCAAACAGG
rnacentral:rRNA from 1 species